rnacentral:misc_RNA from 1 species
GAAAUGCGAUAAGUAAUGUGAAUUGCAGAAUUCAGUGAAUCAUCGAAUCUUUGAACGCACAUUGCGCCCGCCAGUAUUCUGGCGGGCAUGCCGGUCCGAGCGUCAUUUCAACCAUCAAGCCCCCGGGCUUGUGUUGGGGACCUGCGGCUGCCCGCAGGCCCUGAAAACCAGUGGCGGGCUCGCUGUCACACCGAGCGUAGUAGCAAUCACCUCGCUCAGGGCGUGCUGCGGGUUCCGGCCGUUAAACAGCCUUACAAAACCCAAGGUUGACCUCGGAUCAGGUAGGAAGACCCGCUGAACUUAAGC